rnacentral:tRNA from 1 species
GCUCAGUUGGUAAAGCACAAGGCUCUCAACCUUGUGGACGUGGAUUCAAGCCCCAU